rnacentral:rRNA from 1 species
CGUAGGGUGCGAGCGUUAAUCGGAAUUACUGGGCGUAAAGCGUGCGCAGGCGGUUUUUUAAGACAGGCGUGAAAUCCCCGGGCUCAACCUGGGAACUGCGCUUGUGACUGGAAGGCUAGAGUAUGGCAGAGGGGGGUGGAAUUCCACGUGUAGCAGUGAAAUGCGUAGAGAUGUGGAGGAACACCGAUGGCGAAGGCAGCCCCCUGGGCCAAUACUGACGCUCAUGCACGAAAGCGUGGGGAGCAAACAGGAUUAGAUACCCUGGUAGUCCACGCCCUAAACGAUGUCAACUAGGUGUUGGGUGGGUAAAACCAUUUAGUACCGGAGCUAACGCGUGAAGUUGACCGCCUGGGGAGUACGGCCGCAAGGUUA